AUGAACGCUAGCUACAGGCUUAACACAUGCAAGUCGCGGGGAAACGACAUCGAAAGCUUGCUUUUGAUGGGCGUCGACCGGCGCACGGGUGAGUAACGCGUAUCCAACCUGCCCACCACUUGGGGAUAACCUUGCGAAAGUAAGACUAAUACCCAAUGAUAUCUCUAGAAGACAUCUGAAAGAGAUUAACGAUUUAUCGGUGAUGGAUGGGGAUGCGUCUGAUUAGCUUGUUGGCGGGGUAACGGCCCACCAAGGCAACGAUCAGUAGGGGUUCUGAGAGGAAGGUCCCCCACAUUGGAACUGAGACACGGUCCAAACUCCUACGGGAGGCAGCAGUGAGGAAUAUUGGUCAAUGGACGAGAGUCUGAACCAGCCAAGUAGCGUGCAGGAAGACGGCCCUAUGGGUUGUAAACUGCUUUUAUAAGGGAAUAAAGUGAGUCUCGUGAGACUUUUUGCAUGUACCUUAUGAAUAAGGACCGGCUAAUUCCGUG
rnacentral:rRNA from 1 species